GGAUCCACUGUUUUUGAGCAAAGUGAAUAAAGAUUCGAAGGGGCAGGACCAAGGAGAAGGGUCCUUUUACAACAUUUACAACAACAGGCAUUUUCUCUUUUUGACAGGUGAUGGGCAGAGAACUGCUCAGAUAGCUUUGUCAAACACUGUGUUGAGACCUCACUGUGUGAGAGCAGAGCACUGCAGAUAGUUUACAGCACCAGUCUCCUUAGCCAUGGCUAACCCCUGCAGCCUCUGGAAGGACACUGCACCCAGCCUUGGGGGAAGAGCUCAGAUAGAAGCAUGGGUCCAGAGCAAAGGGAAGCACAGUCUUAGUAAGAAGACCCCUUGA
rnacentral:lncRNA from 1 species